ensembl:misc_RNA Metazoa_SRP Metazoan signal recognition particle RNA
GCCGGGCGUGGUGGCGGGCGCCUGUAGUCCCAGCUACUCGGAGGCUGAGGCGGGAGAAUGGCGUGAACCCGGGAGGCGGAGCUUGCAGUGAGCCGAGAUCGCGCCACUGCACUCCAGCCUGGGUGACAAAGCGAGACUCCGUCUCAA